UACGUAGGGUGCAAGCGUUUAUCCGGAAUUACUGGGCGUAAAGCGUGCGCAGGCGGUUAUGUAAGACAGUUGUGAAAUCCCCGGGCUCAACCUGGGAACUGCAUCUGUGACUGCAUAGCUAGAGUACGGUAGAGGGGGAUGGAAUUCCGCGUGUAGCAGUGAAAUGCGUAGAUAUGCGGAGGAACACCGAUGGCGAAGGCAAUCCCCUGGACCUGUACUGACGCUCAUGCACGAAAGCGUGGGGAGCAAACAGG
rnacentral:rRNA from 1 species